rnacentral:rRNA from 1 species
AGACGAACCGUCCAAACGUUAUUCGGAAUUACUGGGCUUAAAGGGUGCGUAGGCGGCGCGGUCAGUCAGAUGUGAAAUCGUACAGCUCAACUGUACAACUGCGUCCGAAACUACCGUGCUUGAGGAAGGCAGAGGUGAGCGGAACUCAGGGUGGAGCGGUGAAAUGCGUUGAUAUCCUGGGGAACACCGGUGGCGAAGGCGGCUCACUGGGCCUUUUCUGACGCUGAGGCACGAAAGCUAGGGUAGCGAACAGGAUUAGAAACCCGGGUAGUCC